AUGUGGCCAAAAACAGGAAAAAAGCAAAAUUAAGAUUGUAAGAUUAUAGAAAAAAAUACCAUAUCAUUAUUUGAAUUGUGAUGGACAAAUAUAGCAUGGCCAAAGGAUCCAAUGAUGCCCUUUAAAGCUGCAUCCUCUGAGGACUCUUCUACGUUAGAAAAGCAGCAGAUUUACAUCUCCUACCUUAAACUAUCAGCAAACUCUGAACUCUGUUGUGCCAUGAAGUGCAGUGUCAGUAAGGGUUUGAUUUUACGCUAUAUUUUCAUCAACAUAAAUUCUGUAGUUUUGUUAUAUGUCAUGCAAAAAUAAGACACGAAUAUUUCAGUUCAUUUUGCCCAAAGUCCAUAAGUGUUAUUGGAAUAAAUGGUUCAGCGGUAAUAUAUACGAGAGUAGUGGUAAAUGGAAAAGCCCUCCGUGACAUUUCUGUGGAGGAAAAGUGCGACCUAUGUUGUGAGUUAAGUUUCCAAAAAAGCAAUAUCAUGGCACAGAAAACAACAAAAGGCAGAAUCUAAGUGUACACAGAAAAUACUUUAAAGUCAGCUGCUGGUAUUGUGCCAGUUCCUAAAAUCUCACAUAUCCCUCACAGAAAGCAACAAUGAGUGUAGUGCUCCUUCAACGAGUUCAUAGUUUGAAUGUAGCAUCGGCUGCAAAUGGAUGCCAAGGUUUCAGAAGACUCUACAGCUCAGAUAGAGCUGCUGUUUGAUUCACCGAACAUCUGCUCACUUAUAAAUGAACAGCAACCAUCUCCGUGCUGAAGCUACUUCCGUUAUGACUUGAAAUGAAAGAUCUGAAUUAGAUUUCAUUAAUCUUUUGCUCUUUGCCUAAAAAAAGAAAUUUAAAUUGCAGACUACUCUUGGCUUUAGGAGCUCUCAUGGCUUUAAUACAGUCUAUGCUGUAGUGUGCAUGUGCUUGAGUAGGUAUAGCUCACCAGUGGUGUUUGCUACUAGCUCAGCCCUUGUCCAGGCUACACAAACAUUCACAUUAGCUCUCUGUCCAACUGAGUGAGCCAGUACUGUGUCCUGGAUACAAACUCAAAGUCACAGGUCAUUUAGCCAUUUAAAUCAGCUGUGCUGGAUCAAGGGCACAUCUAAAACCUGCAGGAACCAGCCCUCAAAGCCUGGAGGUCCCCACUCCUGCUAUAAACAAUGUAGAAGACCGAUACUGAACUCUGCUGACAUGGAUGGUGCAGGAAUAACUUCCUGAUUUCCCAGCAGCCUGUCAGAUUUGCAGUGAUAGACUGCUGAACAGGGAACAAAGGUUAAAGUCAAGCAAAUUUACAAGGCCAAGCUUCAACUGAGUUCAAACUGAAUGGGGCCAUAAGGCAGAUUUAAAUUUGCCUCUCACACACAAUGAACAUGGUCAGAAGAGCUAAACAUUAGGAGGCACACUAAAACUGGCCAGUGGAUGCAGGAGCAAACUGUUGGUGUUUGGUGGUGUCUGUUCAGUAAGACUUCUGUUCAGAGUUUAUUCCUGCUCCUCGCUGUGUUCAAGAGACCCAAAGAUCUUUCUGCUUCACCUCAAGUGUCUCAGUGAUGCUCUCUUCAUAAAUGCUGCAUCUGUCCUCUCUAAGAUUUGCUGUUCCAAGUUCUACUCACCACACUGGAGGCAAUCAGCUGGUCUCAAACCAAGUGACUGUCUCAUGGGAACAGUAGUCCCACAAACAAGAAGAAAAUAGAAACAGGUACCUGCUGGUGUUUUCCCCUUUCACUUAAGCAUUCUCCGAACAUUCAUGAGCUCUUCUAUUGUAGAUUACAACAGUAACAUAGUUACCAGUGAGAACAUUCUGGUGACAACAGUGAGAUCAGCUGAACACAGAUGCAGAUCUGUAGUGCUGGACAUAAAGUGACACAAGUAUCAUUUCUCUGAAUAUGAAAUUAAUGUGCAAUACAAUUCUUAAGUUACGCUGCAGUCCACAGUCUGUGUCAGUCCCACCGCUGUGAUGUCAGAGGGCUGGAGGAGGUGUGAUACAGCUGGAAUACUGGUGAUGCCAGCAAAUUCUCUCCAUCUGUGGAAGACACACACCGAAUAAACAGCCAGUCAGGAGACUACAGCGAUCACUGCACGUGUGUGCAUGCUGCCUGGUAUGUCUCAACAAUUAGCUAAGAGGCAACUGUAACAUGGUGGUUGUUGCCUCUGUUUUAAAAUGACCAAAAACUAAACUCUGUUCAAGAGGACAGGUUUAAUGAAAUCCUGUUAACUGUGACAUGAAGAAAACACUUGAGAUUUUUGUUCCAAAAACAGAGCCAACCUAAAGAAACUGCCUGUGAAACCAACCUGCUGACAGUUUGUUUAAAACAACUUCCUUUUCUGAGCUCUCAGUUCAUGUCUUUAGAAAUAAUGAAAUCCAAAAUAAUCAGUCUGAUACACAACAAGUGUUUUCAGCCUAUAAAUGCAGGACAGAGACAACUAUCUGUAGAGAUUUCUUCAUAGUUUGCAGCAUUUCUUUCCAAAACUGGCUCUGUGGACACUGAAGUACCUGUUAUGCCGUCAGUCAGAUCCCCUGUACUGAUUAUUGCUUUUUUAAAAGAAAAAUCAAGCCAGCAGUGUUUAGGAAGCAUAAUCUUUAGUCUGUAUGGGUCUUUUAUUUUGAAGAGGUAAGCGCUUCUCUUUGUUGUUCCAGUGUCUAACCUCAUACUUUCCCAUUUGCUCUGUGCAGCCUGACAUGGCUUCCAUUAAAAACAAAAGACCCGAUGCCAUUUUUACCAGCAGAGGCGCAUCUGAAAUAAGCAUUGGCACAUCUGGUGGAACUGCAAGCUCUGAGUGACAGUCCCACCAGUGUCCUGUUCAGCUGUUCUACAACUGAACACAGGGCUCGGAAAAUUUCAAAAUCUCUGGUAGCCCUUCGGGCAGGCACUCUUCAGUUUUUGGUAGCCCAAAAUAAAUGUAAGUAGCCUGAAUAAAAAAG
ensembl:lncRNA